rnacentral:misc_RNA from 1 species
GCAAACUUGGUCAUUUAGAGGAAGUAAAAGUCGUAACAAGGUUUCCGUAGGUGAACCUGCGGAAGGAUCAUUAACGAAUUUGCUUGAAAUGGGUUGAUGCUGGCUACGUUCUGUAGUAAGUGUGCUCACCCGGCUCAACAAAAUCCAUUCACACCUGUGAACUUAUUCAUUUCAUUUACAAACAUGAUUAUUAUUGAUGAACGUUAUAUGGGUUAUAUUAUUAUAAUACAACUUUCAACAACGGAUCUCUUGGCUCUCGCAUCGAUGAAGAACGCAGC